AUGAGUCCGGUCAAGCCGAUGGGAGGCAAUGCCGGAAAAGUUGCCUUGGAUGAAGGUGACCAACAGAAAUUGAACUUAAUUGUGCGAUGUUCGUUGAGAGAGGUUGAAGCUUGUGCUAAAUUGCUCGAGAGUCGGGUGAAGUCUAACAUUUCCCGCCCUCUGAUGGGAGUUUUGUACCUGAGGAUAGAUCCUGAUACAAUGACCCUUGACAUGGGUGAGGAUAAUAAGAAGCUUCACAUCACUACCAAUGGUAUACAAAAAUUAUUUGGUUUCCCUCAUGGCGGUCGUUCUGCGCCAAGGCCGUCAGAGGACGGAUAUGACAACGCUCUGAUGAAGUUAAGAACAGAGCUUGACAUUAGCAGGAACAAAGAAAUCAGUUCAAAGGAUUUGAGGAAUAAGCUCAAGGUGCUUGUUAAGGAUCCUAGCAAAGAUGACCUUGCUCUGAAAGUGUUCUUCAUUAUUGUGUUUAUGAAGGUUGUGUUGCCUGGUUCUGCCCCGCGUGAUUUUAGAGGGGCAACAAUGUUUGAGGGUCUCAUCUUUGAGGACAUGGCUGAAAUGGAUUAUUGCUAG
rnacentral:rRNA from 1 species